rnacentral:rRNA from 1 species
GAUGAACGCUGGCGGCGUGCCUAAUACAUGCAAGUCGAGCGAACAGACGAGGAGCUUGCUCCUCUGACGUUAGCGGCGGACGGGUGAGUAACACGUGGAUAACCUACCUAUAAGACUGGGAUAACUUCGGGAAACCGGAGCUAAUACCGGAUAAUAUAUUGAACCGCAUGGUUCAAUAGUGAAAGACGGUUUUGCUGUCACUUAUAGAUGGAUCCGCGCCGCAUUAGCUAGUUGGUAAGGUAACGGCUUACCAAGGCAACGAUGCGUAGCCGACCUGAGAGGGUGAUCAGCCACACUGGAACUGAGACACGGUCCAGACUCCUACGGGAGGCAGCAGUAGGGAAUCUUCCGCAAUGGGCGAAAGCCUGACGGGGCAACGCCGCGUGAGUGAUGAAGGUCUUCGGAUCGUAAAACUCUGUUAUUAGGGAAGAACAAAUGUGUAAGUAACUAUGCACGUCUUGACGGUACCUAAUCAGAAAGCCACGGCUAACUACGUG